UACGAAGGUGGCAAGCGUUGUUCGGAUUUACUGGGCGUACAGGGAGCGUAGGCGGUUGGAUAAGCCCUCCGUGAAAUCUCCAGGCUUAACCUGGAAAGUGCAGAGGGGACUGUUCAGCUAGAGGAUGGGAGAGGAGCGCGGAAUUCCCGGUGUAGCGGUGAAAUGCGUAGAGAUCGGGAGGGAAGGCCGGUGGCGAAGGCGGCGCUCUGGAACAUUUCUGACGCUGAGGCUCGAAAGCGUGGGGGAGCAA
rnacentral:rRNA from 1 species